rnacentral:ncRNA from 1 species
UGCAAGGCUAUGACAGAAAGCAGUAGCUGUACGCCGUAUUUCAGAGAGCCGAUGGUUGGUGGGAAUCGGUUGUGGUCGCAGCGAACUCGUUCUGGAGCCAGAAGGUGAAGGGAAGGAUCGUCGGAAGAAGGGUCCGAGACCUAGCCGGAUCGUAUUCCCCGCGUUAAGGGGCUGGAGUGGACAGGGGCAAAGCAUGCCGGCUGUCAACUAGGGUGGUACCACGGGAAGCAAAGCUCUCGUCCCUAGC